UUUGGUCUCAUUUGCAUAGCUAGUCUUAGUUUUGAAUGCAACACUCGCUGAGUCAUAGCUCAUGAGUUAUGGUCUCUUUAAUAUUUCAUCUUUUGUUUAUCAGUCAUUGUAAACACAAUUUUGCAAAUCCAAUAAUGUCUAUGUCAUUCGAUCGAUUUAUUUUUUAUGCUAUUUGAUCAAUAUAUAUAUAUAAUCAGCUAGUAUUUGAUAGACAAAGUACUAGGGUUUACCGGAUCAUACCCUUAUUUUACCAGAUGACCGGAAGUUGACAAAAAAAUUUUUUUUUUUUCAAAGACGAAUUAAAAAAACAAAACUUAAUUGAAAUGUAUUUAGGGGUUAAACUCAAUUUUAGCUUUUAGUUGUAGCUGACAAAUAAAAUAUUCGUAGCCUUAGAGAAAUUAGUUAUUUAUGCAUCUUAGCUCACUAAAUUUGUGACAUAGAAAACACAAUUUUGAAAGUUCAAUUAUAUCUGUCAGUUGAUCGAUUAAAAAAAAUGUUACUUGAGAAAGAAUUUACGUAAUUUAAAGAACAUGUUUGAAGGAUGAGUUUAUGGCAAUAUUACGAUAAAAUCCUUUGCUGUAGAAGCUUAUGGAAAUAAUAAAAAAGAAGGAUGAACUAUUUAAGAACAUUGCAGAUUAGAUCUAAAGUUGGACAAUAUGAUACCAAAUAUAUUUAGACAAUCGAAAAUUUUCUAUUUGAUUUAGGCAAAAUGAAACAACACCUUGAUCUUCUAAAACUUUUCAUUACAGACAAAAUCUGCAACAUAAUCGUUGAGGAGACGAAAAAAAUUGCUAUGCUAAAUAAUUUCACUUUUCUGUAGACGUAAAUAUGAUCAGGGCUAGUCAUGCCUGCGCUUUUUUGAGUGUCUAUAUGACUGCCUUUUGCAAAAAGAAGAUACGGCCAAUAAAUUGGUAAAAGGAUGGAUCUCCAGAUCCAACCAUGAAAAACUUAUGAAAUAUACCCACUUCGAGAGCGAUCCAGACACUGAAAUCUCUUUUGGAAAGAAUAACCCUUGAUGGACAGUAUAAAUGAAACGGCAAAAAAUAUUUAGAGCGAUCUGAAAAUAUAUCGGUUGAUGAGUCAAUGGGGAAUUAUUUUUGAACUAAUCAAAUAAUUUUUUGGAGGAAAGCCUAUGCGUUUUGAUUUUAAAAUCUGGUGUGCAUGUAUUCCUACCGGAGAGCUCCUCCAUUGUUUGCCUUACGGACGUCUAAAAAAAAAAGUAAAAGAGAUAGGACUUAGACAUGGUCCAGAUGUGAUAACUAAAAUGACUGAGCAACUUUAUCUGAAAGCAGGCCACAAGAUAGUUUCUGAUAAUCUCUUUACUUUACUGGAUCUAAUGGAUUAUUUAGGAUUAUUCAAGUUCCUCCAGCUGACUUGAUCAUAAAGGUGAGAACUGUUUUUGUGGCCUGAUUGUUUUCAAGUCCAAAAAAAUUGCUUUUCACGAAUUCCACCCUUUGAGCCGAGUAAAUUUUGUCUAUGAUCAAAGUCAAAUAUUUCUUCUGACUUUCCCGGCUGCAAUUAUGGUAGUCUUAGUGCUUGUAAGGACUGAUGCGAGUCUUCAUACAUUUCCAGAGAGAUCCUAUGAAGAUGGCCAAGUGGCUUAGGGCCAUUCCAAGAGAUACAAAAUAUUAGACAUCGACAUAAAGUUGAAGUUUAUGAAUUCAACACUUCACAGCAAAUGACUUCAUUACCAUAUCUGUUGAUAGAAGACGCUACCAAAAGAAGGUACACAAGCUAAGACGCCCAAAAGGGAUACUAUACCAUCUAAAUGGCCAAAUCUCCCAAAUUAUCUUUCAUCAACCUCCAAAUCAACGAUAGCAUCUACUAGCAGCCUGAGAUUACAGCUUCAAAAUAUUAGUUAUGAAGCAUUGGAGAAGGAAAUGUUUUAUGAAGAGAUUGUUAUGUCCGCUAAACAUGUCUAUGAGGAACUCUUUUAAUUUGUCAACUUAGCGAAGAUAAAUGAAUCUCAGGCUUCCAAGUUGUCAUUUAUUGUACAACAAAUGAAUCUCUUCUCCAAAUUCCCCAAACAGAGGCGAUAUGCUCCUAUGAUCCACUUUAUAGCUAUAAUCUGGCAAAAUAUCAACCUUGACAAUGAAAUUUUUGCUUCUAACGUCUUCACACCUUCAUCGCCAAGAUAACUGAAGGCUACUUCCUGCGCUUUGAAUAUGGAAACCGGGCUACCCCAUUCUGCUAUUAGCUACCUCAAGUCAAGAAUAAAUACGAAAACCAUGAUGAAUAUUCACUUCAAAACGGAAUAAAAGCUCCAUUAUUCAAUU
rnacentral:lncRNA from 1 species